UGGGGAAUAUUGCACAAUGGGCGCAAGCCUGAUGCAGCCAUGCCGCGUGUAUGAAGAAGGCCUUCGGGUUGUAAAGUACUUUCAGUCGGGAGGAAGGUGUCAAGGUUAAUAACCUUGGCAAUUGACGUUACCGACAGAAGAAGCACCGGCUAACUCCGUGCCAGCAGCCGCGGUAAUACGGAGGGUGCAAGCGUUAAUCGGAAUUACUGGGCGUAAAGCGCACGCAGGCGGUUGAUUGAGUCAGAUGUGAAAUCCCCGGGCUUAACCCGGGAAUUGCAUCUGAUACUGGUCAGCUAGAGUCUUGUAGAGGGGGGUAGAAGUCCAUGUGUAGCGGUGAGAUGCGUAGAGAUGUGGAGGAAUACCGGUGGCGAAGGCGGCCCCCUGGACAAAGACUGACGCUCAGGUGCGAAAGCGUGGGGAGCAAGCAGG
rnacentral:rRNA from 1 species